rnacentral:rRNA from 1 species
GACGAACCGUGCGAACGUUGUUCGGAAUCACGUGGCUUAAAGGGCGCGUAGGCGGCUUGCCAAGUCCGGGGUGAAAGCCUCCGAGCUCAACUGGAGAGUGCCUUGGAUACUGGCGAGCUCGAGUGAGGUGAGGGCGGGUGGAACUUCCGGUGGAGCGGUGAAAUGCGUUGAUAUCGGAAGGAACGCCGGUGGCGAAAGCG